CAUGCAGUCGAACGCAUCCUUCGGGAUGAGUGGCAGACGGGUGAGUAACACGUGGGAACGUGCCCUCCGGUCUGGGAUAACCCUGGGAAACUAGGGCUAAUACCGGAUACGUGCUUUGGCAGAAAGGUUUACUGCCGGAGGAUCGGCCCGCGUCUGAUUAGCUAGUUGGUGGGGUAACGGCCUACCAAGGCGACGAUCAGUAGCUGGUCUGAGAGGAUGAUCAGCCACACUGGGACUGAGACACGGCCCAGACUCCUACGGGAGGCAGCAGUGGGGAAUAUUGGACAAUGGGCGCAAGCCUGAUCCAGCCAUGCCGCGUGAGUGAUGACGGCCUUAGGGUUGUAAAGCUCUUUUCUCCGGGACGAUAAUGACGGUACCGGAGGAAUAAGCCCCGGCUAACUUCGUGCCAGCAGCCGCGGUAAUACGAAGGGGGCUAGCGUUGCUCGGAAUCACUGGGCGUAAAGGGCGCGUAGGCGGCGUUUUAAGUCGGGGGUGAAAGCCUGUGGCUCAACCACAGAAUGGCCUUCGAUACUGGGACGCUUGAGUCUGGUAGAGGUUGGUGGAACUGCGAGUGUAGAGGUGAAAUUCGUAGA
rnacentral:rRNA from 1 species